rnacentral:rRNA from 1 species
AGUGAACGCUGGCGGAAGGCUUAACACAUGCAAGUCGAACGGCAGCACAGUGAGAACUUGGGUGUAGGGGGGCGGAGGGGUGAGUAAGAGAGGAGAACAUGGGCGGCUGCGGUUGAGAACGGAGUGAAAGAGAGGAUAAUACGGUAUACCAGCAGAGGACGUAAGCGUGGAAGCAGGGGGUCUUGGGACAUCGCACGAGUCGAUGUCAGAUUAGGUAGUUGGUGGGGUAAAGGCCUACCAAGCCGACGAUCUGUAGCUGGUCUGAGAGGACGAGCAGCCACACUGGAACUGAGACACGGUCCAGACUCCUACGGGAGGCAGCAGUGGGGAAUUUUGGACAAUGGGCGCAAGCCUGAUCCAGCCAUACCGCGUGCAGGAAGAAGGCCUUCGGGUUGUAAAGCGCUUUUGUAUGGAAAGAAAAGGAUCUGGCUAAUACCCCGCGGUUCUGACGGUACCGUAAGAAUAAGCACCGGCUAACUACGUG